UGGCUCAUAUUACAGGUAUUCAUGUAUGUAUCUCUGUAAAUCUAUGCCUGCAACCUUUUAUCCUCCCACUGAUGCUGCUAUCUACUGAAUCUGCAAGGUGACCAGAACAUUGGUUAUAUUUUUCCCUCUUAUGUGUUUGAAGGCACUUAUUUCAGUCACAAUAAUGUUGUAAAAUAAAAACCAUAUUCUCAAUAAGAAAGGCUUUGUGAAUGUAAAGUUCAGGUUUUUUACGACAUAAUACAUUUAUAUUCAAUUCACUCAUGCUGACUCACUCAUGUUCUGAAAAAUCAAGGUCACUUUUAUAUACUGCAGGACAGUAUAAGUGGUUUGUUAGUAUUUUUUUUUUUUUUGGAGUGUUUUAAAAAAAAACUUGCAUAUUGUGUUACAAGGUAACAACUAUCAAGUGUCCUGAUAAGGAGCACAGGAGGUGGAUAAUGUUUGACAGGACUGCUGUGAUAACGGAUCAAAGGUCCAAGUCUGUUUUCCUGACAGAUCCAACUUAGCACUUCAGAGGGAUUUCUGUCUGGGAGUGAGUGUAAGUCUGAUCCGGGCUUUCUAGUGCAUGGGAGCAUCCUGUCUUCAGCAUCAUGGUGGAGUUGGCCUUCUACCCGGCGGUGGCACUGAUGUAUUUUUUUGGAGUGAUGAAAGCCACGCAGGAUGAUCGGGUGGAGCUGGAUGACCGGGCAUCGAUGAACGUGUUCUGUCUGUUUGUGUUGGCACAGCCGCUGUGUCUGGUACUGGGAGGAUACACUGGCAUGGCUACGUACCUCCUCACAGCUCUGGUGUCCUACAACUUCCUGCCUUGGAAGAAGACAAAACAGCCUGCUAAGGGCAAAGAAUCAAAGAAGAAGACUAAGUGAGAACAAGGAACACACACUUUAUGGAGACAGUGGAUUCAAACAGGUUGCGAAAGAGAAAAUUAUUUAUGUAAAGAAUAAGCAUUCAAUGUGAAAAUCAUUUUCUAUGGGAAUAAAUGGAUGUGUUGCUGCCUUGCUUAACCAUAUAGUAGUUAUUUAACCUGUUUCCACAAAAGUGUUUUUCAUCUGCAAUUGUAAACUUCUGUGAGAAAGCACAUUAUUCAGGGACAUUCAGUCCUCCUCUGCACAGGAAGUGACUCAUUUUAUGAUUCCUGAUGCAGCAAAAGGAUUUAGGGUUAAGGAACUGACAAACUAAAAAUCUAAAACCGUAAAACAAUCUGUUUUGGCCAAUAAUCUCUAGACCAAAACUAUGUGUUGGUGUGACUCGCCAUUACCUUUCCAAGAUGGAAAACAAAGUUUAAUACUUGGUCAGUUCAUUUUCAAUGCAACUUGCAGAGAGUUAGAAGAGAAGAUCGAUACCGCUCUUAUAAUAGUAUGGUACAGUAAAUAUAAAGCUACCGCCAGCAGCCGGUUAGCUUAGUUUUACACAAAGACUGGAAACAGGACCAGCACCUCUAAAGCUCACUAAUGAACAUGCUAUAUAACAUUUUUUAAACCAUACAAAAACUGAAGUGUAAAAACAACAAGCUGUGGUUUUGCAGAGGGCUAUGUGCUGGAUUAUUUCUUGGCCAGGUACAGUCACUUCCUGGAGUCUAUGCUGGUUCACUGGCAACCUUUAUGGCAAUGACAAGUCUCCAGGAAGAAAGGUAUGACGUGUUGACUAGAGAGCUUUAGAGGUUCUGUUAGGCAGACUUUGUUACCUAUGGACAGAGUCAGGCUAGCUGUUUCCCCCUUUGUGCUAAGCUAAGCUAACCAGCUUUAGCUACAUUAUAUUCAGUGGACAAACAUUAGAGUGGUUUCAAUCUUCUCGUCUAAUUCCCGGCAAAAAAGGGAAUAAACAUAUUUCCCAAAAAGUGAAACUAUUCCUUUAAGUGAAGAACUUAAUGGGUGAUCAAAAGCCUGGACAGACAAUAAAUAAUUUUUUCAUUUCUGAAUUGGAAUUACAUUCUGUGUCCUAAUAUGAAAGCACAUUGCUCUGAGGUGAGAAGAAGUUACUCAUCCAUAACAUUACAUGGAAUGUGUCACUGACUUUAUAAUUGAACAUCUAUAGUGAGUCAUUUCUACCAAACAUCAUCAUAAGUCAAUGGAUU